rnacentral:tmRNA from 1 species
GGGGGCGUUUAUGGAUUCGACGGGGAUAGUUUGAGCAUGAGUAGCGGGUAGUGGGGACGCGUCCACUUCAUCAACGCUAAAGCCUAUUUAAACGGCAAACAAAACAACAACUUAGCUUUAGCUGCUUAAUAACCAGCGGGCUAGCUCUAACCUUCCAUCGCCCAUGUGGCAGGAUUAGGGCUCAACUUUAGUGGGCUACGCCGUUUGAUCUCCGUCUGAGGUCAGCGGAAGAAGACAAUCAGACUAGUUUAAACAGUAGCGGGUUGCUUGGCGGCUGUUUAAGCGAAACUUUCUCAAGCAACUACACCCGUAGAAGCUUAUGUGGCGAUAUUUUCGGACAGGGGUUCGACUCCCCUCGCCUCCACCA